AGGAGCUGUAAAAAGAAAUCCUGCAACAACUUUAGCAACUGAAUCAGAUUUUCAAUAUGAGGUUGUGCGUUUUUUGCGUGGUGCAUCAGACCACAAUGGCGGACAAAAAGUUAAACAAGACUAAAAAAAACAAACAAGCCAAGAAAAAAGUGAUGCCUACAUUAAGUUUUCCAAUGCUAUUAAAUAAAGAGACAUUUUUUAGUUCAGAAGAUGAAUAACAUUGUUAAAUAAAAUAAGCAUCUUUAUUUACAAUAACCUCUUGUAUAUGAGAUUGUAGAUGAGAAUUUAAAUCGUGAUAUUGAAUCUUACCAGAGAAUAAAAUGCACUUAGUAUCUGAAGUUAAUUGUCAAUAACUGGUGAUCAGACUAUUUCAAACAAACACGUUUUUAAGGGCUGAGAAGGUGAAAGUUAGAAGUCUGCAGACUGCAACGUAAAUCAAUUUUCAACACACGAUUUCCUGAAUAUAUUUAGUUUUCGAUUGAAAUGAGAAUAAACUGAACUUAUGGAUAUGUUGAAAAUUAACUAUUUUACAUUUUAAACGUUCGCUAAACGCAAGUGAAGCAAUAGUCUAUAG
rnacentral:lncRNA from 1 species